UUCAGCUCGGGGGCAGCGUGCUGAAAUGCACGUAAAAAGACCCGCUCGGGUGUCCAACGUAUCUUUUCAAGCUCUCAAGCUGGAGCAUUUGAGUAUCGCCCCACGAUCUCCCGUCACUUUAGAUGGGGGUGUGAUAACAAUUUAAUCCCCCCCCCUUCCCCAGUGUCUGGGCUUACCUACCAACCGUCUAGAAUUCAGCGGGACAGUUCCGGUUUUCGUACCCUGUCCCGCUGUCUCACCUGUGGUCAGCAGUGUCCCGUGGGUGAGGGGUGUUGCCCAGCAGCUCUCAGAACUGCUGUGUAAGCCCUCUGCAUAACAAGAAAAGGGGGUGUGCAAAAUGUCACACACCUGGGACAUGGGCUCACAGACCCGAUCACGUCCCCUUUCAAGCGAGCGCAAAGUCCCGCUACCCAGCUUUCUAAACUUUGGAGGUUAGCACAUGAGUCCCUCGCAGCAGCUGCCACCAAUGCCGGAGCCAAUGUUCAGGGCACCUGUGCUGUGUGACUGCAGCAAUAGCAAUGCAACCAAGACAAGAUUUUGUGGGAAAUGUUUGUGGCGAGAUGAUGGCUUGGCUUAGCUUCAAAGUUCAUGGCGUGCCAAAGAGGGCUACAUGCUGCGAUUUGAGGGUAGGGUUAUGUGGACACAUCUGUAUGCCUUGAUAAAUGUACUAAUGAUUGUGUGAAGAUGUACAGUAUGGUCUCUUACCGUGCUGAGCCUCACUGCUCAUCGCCAGUGUGUUCAGUAACACUCUCCCCAGUUCCUGUCUAGGUAUUUCCUUGAAAGAGAGAUGAAACAUAAAAUAAAUGACCUGUCAGUAAUUAAUCACUAGGAGAUACUGUGCUGCAAAGCAGAAUAUAUUAUACAGAUAACAGGAGCUUUCAUAAAGCUCUGAUUUAUGUGUAAAAUUACACACUGGAGUAUGCAUAAAAUAUAAUGAGACAAUAAACCACUUUGUGCCAUCGUCAUGAUGCAUGCUGAUAGUCUCAGAAAUAAAUGUUUGUUCCACUCA